AACGAACGCUGGCGGCAGGCCUAACACAUGCAAGUCGAACGCUGUAGCAAUACAGAGUGGCAGACGGGUGAGUAACGCGUGGGAACCUACCCUUUGGUUCGGAAUAGCUCAGGGAAACUUGAGGUAAUACCGGAUACGCCCUUCGGGGGAAAGAUUUAUCGCCAAAGGAUGGGCCCGCGUCGGAUUAGCUAGUUGGUGGGGUAAUGGCCUACCAAGGCGACGAUCCGUAGCUGGUCUGAGAGGAUGAUCAGCCACACUGGGACUGAGACACGGCCCAGACUCCUACGGGAGGCAGCAGUGGGGAAUAUUGGACAAUGGGCGCAAGCCUGAUCCAGCCAUGCCGCGUGAGUGACGAAGGUCUUCGGAUUGUAAAGCUCUUUUGGCGGGGAAGAUAAUGACGGUACCCGCAGAAUAAGCCCCGGCUAACUUCGUGCCAGCAGCCGCAGUAAUAC
rnacentral:rRNA from 1 species